GCCGGGUGCAGUGGCUCACACCUGUAAUCGCAGCACUCUGGGAGGCCGAGGUGGGCAGAUCACCUGAGGUCAGGAGUUUGAGACCAGCCUGGAGCCUGGCCAACAUGGCGAAACCCUGUCUCUACUAAAAAUACAAAAAUUAGCUGGUGUGGUGGCAUGCGCCUGCCAGCUACUUGGGAGUAAUCCCAGCUACUCAGGAGGCUGAGGCUGGAGAAUUGCUUGAACCCAGGAGGCAGAGGCUGCAGUGAGCUGCGAUCAUGCCACUGCACUCCAGCCUGGGCCACAGAGUGAGACUCCGUACCCCCACCCCCAACAAAAAAGAAAAAAAGAAAAAGAAAAAUUAGCAUUCCCCCCUCCCCUCUGAUAGCUGGGUCCACCUUCCUGGCCCCACAUCUUAGUGUUGGAUGGCGCUGUGCUUGCUGACCACGUGUCACUUGCACACUUUCCCCAGCUUCAGUCUGCCAGGAUAGGGUGACAGCAUGGGGCCCAGGACCCACAGGGAGGAGACCAGCAGAGGCAGGUGGGAUCAGGACUUGACCUUCCUCUUUCAAUAACUCUAAAUUAGUUCUUGCUACUUUCACUCGUUCAGGUUGACAGACUCCCUGAGACAUGCAGACGUGACUUCCUAAGCAUCAUUCGUGCGUCCAUCCCAGCCCUGCCGGACCAUGUCUGACCUGGGCUCAGGAUGGCACUGGCACCCAGGGGUGAUUUAGGGGUUAGGUUUCAGCGGGCUCUACCUGAGGUGGGCUCAGGUCACAGAGCACAGCCAGGAAGGAGAACCAAGCUCUUCUAGAAGUGUAUGGAAAGAGUUCCAGGAGGAAGAGCUGCCAGGCUGGGCCUGGAGUUGGCCAGGAUCAAGGCUGGCUGCAACAUUUAUCCAGGCCCAAACCCAACAUAGACGGAGUCCAGCCCCACCAGGCAUGGUAGCAUUUUUUGUGAUCUGGAGUAAGACCCUCUACUGGCAACUUCACUGGAAAUUCCCUGGGUUCUAAGGAAGGAAUGAACCUUGUUGGACUCCAGGGGGUCAAGGGGAAUCCUGGAUGUUAGCAUGAGAGCCCCAGAUGAGCCUGAGCUUCUGUUCAGUCCUGCCACCCAUCCUGCCUGGAGAGCCUGGGUCCAGGAAAGAGACCUCUGGAGGUCCUUGCUUUUGCAAAGGAAGCAGUUUUUCACACAGCUUCUGUGGCCAACUACUAGCGUCCAGUGUUGUUUCAGUUGAGAUUCCUGAUGAGCCCAGUUUUAUCUUUUUGCACCCUCCUUCAAUUUCCUUGUGUGUAAAAUGGGAUGACCAUCUCCUCGGUAAGAUGUCAGGUGGUGAGCACAGUGCCUGCAUGUGGUAAGUGCUAAAGAAAAGUAAUUAGAAUCAGUAAAACUGAAGAACUCUUUAGAAAAAGCAGUCACCUGUGCUGGCUGAGCUUGUGUAAAAGAAAGAUUUACUGACUCAGUUUUAAUUUCUGUGAAUACACCUUUGUGUAGUGAGGAGCAAACCAAGAGGACUGAGCCUUGGGCCUGCCAGCAACUCACCUGAUGCCUUUCUCUGGGCCUCAGUUUUUCUCUCUCUGAAGUGGAUGUGUGUCAUAUGACCCAGAGAUUUCUAAUCUAUCUUCUCCAGCUAGAUUCUUGCAUUAGGGGUGAACUUGUUCAUUGGGUAGAGUUGCUUCCCCUGGUUUGGAGAGGCAGCAUUUGCAGCCCCAGAGGCUAUCAGGGAUAAGGGUGUUGGGCCAAGAAUAGCUGGGCCAGGAGCAAUAAACUGUUAAGGGCUUGAUGAGUCUGAGCAACUGACCAAUAACAUCCAAUGCCCCUGGAACCUGGCAACUCCAACUUUAGGUGGCAGAGGAUUAAACACAUUUUGCCUCAAGGUGAGUCUGUACAGGUCCCCAGUGGUCUCUGGGCCUGCCUUCCAGCUCUGUGAGGAACAGGAGCUGAGCAAGUGCCUACAGUCACCACGCUGCCUACAGUGUCCAGGGGAUUCUAGCCUGGAUAGGAAAACUGGCUUGGCUGAGUGGACUGUCCCAGGGUGAGGAUCUGGGAAUGAGCAUAUGGGGAUGGCAGACUACCACACGCCCUGGAAGCUGGAGAGGAAGGAGGCACCCAGGACAGAAGGUGAGGUUGCCCCAGGUCAACAACUUCCAGAUGAGAUCCACCUUGAGUCAUGAUCCUCAGAUGCCAAGCCACAGGAACCUCAUCACCCACCUCAUCAUCCAAACUGGAACUUGAUGGAAAUCAUUCCACAACUAUGUGUUGGUGGGUUGUCUUCUUAAUACUUGGAAGGAGGUCUUAAUACUUAUCCCACUGAAAUCAUGCUACCUACACCUAGCAAAACAUACAUCAAAGAAAAACUUCUAACUGGGUAUAUCACAUGCCCACUGUACUAACACACUGGAGAACCCCCAACAACAGGAGGCCCGGGGAGAGUCCCUGACCCACAGGGACUUCAGGUCAAGACCACACCCACCAUCCUUUCAAGGUGGAGACAGUCCCCGUAGGAACCAAACUGAUGUAUAAUAAAACUCAUCAUUUAUUUCUCUUCUCCCUACAGCAUUUCAGCCAGUGAAUGGUAGAAUUUUGCAGGAAUAAGAAUUAGAGGUGUAGAGGGUUUUGAGAUGCGGGGUGGGUCAGGUUUCACUACUCAAGGACCCUAAGACAGGUUUUUGGAAGAAGUGUGUGUGUGUGUGUGUGUGUGUGUGUGUGUGUGUGUAGGACCACAUUCAGCCACUCCCAUGGGCAAGUAUGACAUAUGACCACUCCUCUCUUCUUGCCCCCUGGCCUCCUUAACCUAGAAGUCACCUUGCUGGCUCAUGGGAUUCCUUGAUACUUCUGCAAUCCAGCUUCUCCGCUCCAACAGGCUGUCCCUGCCCAGCUGAGCUGGCCCACCCAGGGUUCCCUCACAGUGCUAUGGGCCUCCACUGGCCCCCUCUGCACAGCCCAUCCUCUCCAAUCUUUCUUUCCAAAGUGAAAUCUACCAAUGCUUACUCUUUGGCUCUGGCCACAUGAGAGACAGACAGACAUACAGACACACACUUCUUUCUUUUUGCCUUGGCUCACCACUAUUCAAUGCCUGGAAGCCUUAUUUUCUCCCUUGGGAACCUCCACUCAGUCUUUACAACUGUCAUCUCCUCCAGGAAGUCAUCCCUGCUCUUCUUCC
rnacentral:lncRNA from 10 species